rnacentral:misc_RNA from 1 species
AUUUGUCUAUGCUUUUGGCAUUGUGGCAGACAGAGCCGUUGUAUUGUCAUCGCCAUUUUGAUUACUUUAAAUAUUGCUGUAACAUAACUUAGUAUAAAAAUAAAUUAAUAAUGGCUGAAAAUAUAAAAGUAGAAGAUUAUGGACAUGCGGAUAAUAAACAAGAUAUGAGGAAUAAUCGAGGAGGCCGUAACAACAACAAUCGAGGAGACAGAAUGGACAAGAGGGAUAAUAGAGGACCUCCGGGUCGUAACCAAAAUGACAACCAGCAUAACCAGCAGUGGGCUCGAAAAGAUUUUGUCAAAGAAAAAUUGGAAUCCAUGAGUGGCCCUACAACUAACUUAACUAGUAAGGAAAAUGUUUCAGCCAAGAAAUUUACUGGGCGAUGUCGUUUAUUCGUGGGAAAUUUGCCGACGUCUACUACCGAAGAAGAAUUUCGUAAGAUGUUUAAAGAGUUUGGUGAACUUGGCGAAGUAUUUUUAAAUAAACAGAAAGGAUUCGGUUUUGUUAAUUUGGAUACACGCCAGAAUGCUGAAAAUGCGAAAGCUGCAUUAGAUUUUACAAUGAAAGAUGGGAGACAACUAAGAGUACGUUUUGCAACCCAUGGAGCAGCUUUAAAAAUUAAAAAUCUCUCUCCUUGGAUCUCAAAUGAAUUAUUAGAAGCUUCCUUCAGUGUUUUUGGAGAUGUCGAAAGAGCUGUUGUUAUUGUUGAUGACCGUGGUCGACCCGUGGGGGAAGGAAUCGUUGAGUAUGCACGCAAACAGUCUGCACAAAUGGCCCUUAAACGUUGUACAGAGGGUUGCUAUCUUCUUACUAGCUCUCCUAGACCCGUUGUUGUGGAGCCUUUGGAACAUAGGGAUGAAGAGGAUGGCCUUCCAGAGAAAAACUUUCAGAAAAGUAAUAAGCAGUACUUGAAAGAAAGGGAGAUCGGUCCGCGCCUCGCAGAGCCAGGCACAUUUGAAUAUGAGUUUGCAAAUCGCUGGAAAAGACUGUAUGAAUUAGAACAACAGAAGAGAGAUCACCUCGAAAAAGAAAUUGAAGAAGGAAGGCGGGCUUUGGACGAUCAAAUGGAGUUUGCCAUAUAUGAUCAUGAAGCUAAUCUCUUAAGAGAAAGAUUGCGUCAUAUGGAAGAGCAAAGUACUCUGAUUCAGCGUGAAAGAGAACUGAGGCGUGAAGACGAAAUGCGAAGGGAAGAACAACGUCGUCAGCAAGAAAUGAUUCUUCGUCAACAGCAAGAAGAAAUCUUGCGAAAUGAUUUAAGGCGACGUCAAGAAGAAAAUAUGAUGAUGAGUGGAGGUGGUUAUGGUGACUUAAUGGACAGGGAUCAAAUGAGAAAAAUGCCUCCUGGUCCCAUGUCUCCUGCAAUGCCCGGUGAUCCUAAUGCUGCUGCUAAUUAUGGCAAUGGAAUGAUGCAAGGAGCUGGUAUGGGACUUCCACCGAAAUUCUAAAAAUGAUCCAGAAUCAAGGACUGCAACUCAUCGCUGCUAUCAGCAUCCACGAUGUUCAUUAUUGAUGAUAUGUGCAUAGAAGUGGCAUGGUUUUCCAAGUAAAAAACAUCAGGAAAGCAGGUUCCCCAAUGCAUUGUUGAUAGUGAGAAGGCUCCCAAAUCAGAAAAGGCAUGCUGCUACAUCAGUGGUUACUUGCGAGCAUGUGAAGAGGGUUUUUUACUUUGUGUCACCCCCUCUGUCAGACAUCUUUCUGCAACAAACAAACAGGUUCUACAGUGAAUCAAUGGCCACCUGACUAACUACACUCCUUCUAGAGGUACUUGCAUAAGACCCUGGUAGCAUUUGAGAUAUUUCAUACACCUGGGAUUUACAGACACUUUGUUCAUAUUCUUUUGGCACCCAGUACGACAACACUUGAUUUUCUAACUGAAAUUUUGACUCUAUUCCAUUGUCAACUAAACUUUCUUUUAUCAAUUCUGCCACUGAAUUAAUUGUACUUUUAAAUGUCAAUAAAACUUUGUUGAUA